rnacentral:rRNA from 1 species
CCCUUAGAUGUUCUGGGCUGCACGCGCGCGACAAUGACGUUUGCAACGAGAUUGCGAGGCCGUCAGGUCGAGCUGAUCUUGCAAGCUGCGUCGUGAUAGGGACAGUCGAUUGCAAUUAUUCGACUCGAACGAGGAAUUCCUUGUAAUCGCGCAUCAUCAGUGCGCGCUGAAUACGUCCCUGCCCUUUGUACACACCGCCCGUCGCUCCUAUCGAUUGAGUGAUCCGGUGAAUGUUUUGGAUCGGCUUCAAGUUGGUUCGCGCCUCUUGCUUGCUGUGAAAUCAUGUAAACCUUAUUGCUUAGAGGAAGGAGAAGUCGUAACA